CGGGCGGGUGAGUAAUGUCUGGGAAACUGCCUGAUGGAGGGGGAUAACUACUGGAAACGGUAGCUAAUACCGCAUAACGUCGCAAGACCAAAGAGGGGGACCUUGGGCCUCUUGCCAUCGGAUGUGCCCAGAUGGGAUUAGCUAGUAGGUGGGGUAAGGCUCACCUAGGCGACGAUCCCUAGCUGGUCUGAGAGGAUGACCAGCCACACUGGAACUGAGACACGGUCCAG
rnacentral:rRNA from 1 species